GUGUUUCUCCCUGUAAUAUUUCUUAGUUUAUUUUAUUAUUAAUUCUGGAAAAGAUGGAGUCUUUAUUCUUGAUGAAUCAUGAGAGAGACAACUUCUGCGAAGGACCAAUGAAGUGAAGCUCUGAAGAGAAGGCACUACAAGUUCCUGUGAAUAGUAGGAAUGCCCAGGCUACCACUGGAUUGCUGUACUUUCUCUUUUGUGAACCUUCCAAUUGUAACAUCAAGUGAAGGCAGAAUACCAUAGCUUGAAGCUACCCAAAACAUCAAGAGAGGAGCAAAGAAAGAGAAGCAGAGGGAGCAAGAAGUAAGAAGGAGAAAGAGGGAGAGACAGAUUAUGCAGCUACCAUUGGAACCUUGCGGAAGACCAGCUCACAAGUCCAAUGGCAGGGCUGAGACACGAGGUAAACACAUGCCUUUGGUUUUAUCUGCUCUGGUCCCUAUGGUCA